UACCAGCACCCCGAGUGGUCGGGACGUUUUAUUGGGCCUAAAGCAUCCGUAGCCGGUUCUACAAGUCUUCCGUUAAAUCCACCUGCUUAACAGAUGGGCUGCGGAAGAUACUAUAGAGCUAGGAGGCGGGAGAGGCAAGCGGUACUCGAUGGGUAGGGGUAAAAUCCGUUGAUCCAUUGAAGACCACCAAUUGCGAAGGCAGCUCGCUACACAUAUAUUGACUCUGAGGCACGAAAGCGUGGGGAUCAAACAGG
rnacentral:rRNA from 1 species